rnacentral:rRNA from 1 species
GUCUCUGCUUGCAGAGACGAGUAGAGUGGCGCACGGGUGAGUAACACGUGGAUAAUCUACCUUCAAAUCGGGAAUAACCAUUCGAAAGGAUGGCUAAUGCCGGAUAAAGUCAGAAAAUCUUUGGAGUUUUUGAUGAAAGGGUGCCUCUGAUUAAAGCAUCUGUUUGAAGAUGAGUCCGCGCACCAUUAGUUUGUUGGUGGGGUAACGGCCUACCAAGACUGCGAUGGUUAGCUGGUCUGAGAGGAUGAUCAGCCACACUGGAACUGACACACGGUCCAGACUCCUACGGGAGGCAGCAGUGAGGAAUUUUGCGCAAUGGGGGAAACCCUGACGCAGCAACGCCGCGUGAGUGAAGAAGGCCCUUGGGUCGUAAAGCUCUGUCAAUGGGGAAGAAGUUAUUAUGUAUUAAUAGUGCAUUUUAUUGACGGUACCCAUGAAGGAAGCACCGGCUAACUCCGUGCCAGCAGCCGCGGUAAUACGGGGGGUGCAAGCGUUAUUCGGAAUUCCUGGUGUAGAGGUGAAAUUCGUAGAUAUCAGGAGGAACACCGGUGGCGAAGGCGCCUUUCUGGACCGAUACUGACGCUGAGGUGCGAAGGCGUGGGUAGCGAACGGGAUUAGAUACCCCGGUAGUCCACGCAGUAAACGUUGUAUGCUAGGUGUAGCGGGUAUUGACCCCUGCUGCGCCGCAGUUAACACAUUAAGCAUACCGCCUGGGGAGUACGGUCGCAAGACUAAAACUCAAAGAAAUUGACGGGGGCCCGCACAAGCGGUGGAGCAUGUGGUUUAAUUCGACGCAACGCGAAGAACCUUACCCAGACUUGACAUCUUGAGAAUCCUUUAGAAAUUUAGGAGUGCCUUCGGGAGCUCAAAGACAGGUGCUGCAUGGCUGUCGUCAGCUCGCGUCGCGAGAUGUUUGGUUAAGUCCAGCAACGAGCGCAACCCUUGUCUUCAGUUGCCAGCACAUAAUGGUGGGAACUCUGAAGAGACUGCCCCGGUUAACGGGGAGGAAGGUGGGGAUGACGUCAAGUCCUCAUGGCCCUUAUGUCUGGGGCUACACACGUGCUACAAUGGUAUAUACAACGGGCAGCAAGCGUGCGAGCACAAGCGAAUCCCUUAAAGCAUAUCCCAGUCCGGAUUGGAGUCUGCAACUCGACUCCAUGAAGUUGGAAUCGCUAGUAAUCGUGGAUCAGCAUGCCACGGUGAAUACGUUCCCGGGCCUUGUACACACCGCCCGUCACACCAUGAGAGUUGAUUGUACCCGACGUCACUGGGCCAACCCUUCGGGGGGGCAGGUGCCUAAGGUAUGGUUGAUAAUUAGGGUGAAGUCGUAACAAGGUA